rnacentral:lncRNA from 1 species
GGCCUGACUUUGGGAGCUGCUCACAAAUUCCUGGUAGAGGAAAGUCAAAUAGUUUGUGUUUCCAUAAAAAAGUGAAGCCUACCUCUACGCAGGGCCCAGCAGACCCUCCCUCGGGUUCUAUCUGGGGAAAUUAAAGCGGCUCAGGGAACGUUAAGGCGGCACUACUGACCGCCACCAAAGCUGGAGGCUCGGACACCAGCACCCGGCUCCCCAGACGGUGGGCCUCCCGGGAGCACUGCCUAGGAGUGCGGCCACGAGGUGGGCGAGGCCUGGCCCCUGGAGCACUCCCGCAUGACUGUCACAUGAGAACCCAGUGUGGAACCCUCGUGGGUCCACUCACAGGGCACUCGGGGAGAAGCCAAAUGGAUGUCUUAAAAAGUCACCCAGGGGCUGCGUCUGCUGGCAGCAGGAGUCUGCGGGGGAGCAAGGACACUGGGGAAGUGCUCUGUGCUCCAUCCUGGUGGGCUGUGGACAGGGGCCGAGGGAUGGGCAGAUGUGUGACGAAGCAAAGAGACGUUGUGAUUCAGGUGAGAAAUCCCUGCCCAGAGGCCUCCACACUGAGAUCUGGGAAGUCCCCCUCCAUGUCUUACAGGUGCCAAUGGGUGGGUCACCAGGAAGCGCGUUUGGGUGUAAGGUCGCGGGACACAUUAUUUUCCCAAACACAUGGGUGAAUUUUUAAAAGGUAGGAAAGUGAAGGACCUAAAAUCAUAACGCUGUGGACAGACGGCCGUGCC